rnacentral:tRNA from 1 species
GUUUCUGUAGCGCAAUGGAUCGCGCGUUUGACUUCUAAUCUAAAGGUCGUGGGUUCGAAUCCCACCUGAGAUG